rnacentral:rRNA from 1 species
GAUGAACGCUGGCGGCGUGCCUAAUACAUGCAAGUCGAGCGAACAGACGAGGAGCUUGCUCCUCUGACGUUAGCGGCGGACGGGUGAGUAACACGUGGAUAACCUACCUAUAAGACUGGGAUAACUUCGGGAAACCGGAGCUAAUACCGGAUAAUAUAUUGAACCGCAUGGUUCAAUAGUUAAAGACGGUUUUGCUGUCACUUAUAGAUGGAUCCGCGCCGCAUUAGCUAGUUGGUAAGGUAACGGCUUACCAAGGCAACGAUGCGUAGCCGACCUGAGAGGGUGGGUGGCCAGACGAGAACUGAGACACGCUGCAGACACCUACGAGAGGCAGCGGUAGGGACUCUUACGCGAUGAAGGAGAGCCUGACAGAGCAACGUGGCGUGAGUGAUGAAGGUCUUCGGAUCGUAAAACUCUGUAAUAAGGGAAGAACAAAUGUGUAAGUAACAAUGCACGUCUUGACGGUACCUAACCAGAAAGCCACGGCUAACUACGUG